GCCAGGUGUGGUGGCGCAUGCCUGUAAUCCCAGUGACUCAGAAGGCUGAGGCAGGAGGAUUGCAAGUUCAAAGCCAGCCUCAACAAUUUAGCGAGACACUUAGCAACUCAGUGAGACCCUGUCUCUC
rnacentral:sRNA from 1 species